rnacentral:sRNA from 1 species
UCCGUAGGUGAACCUGCGGAAGGAUCAUUACCGAGUGAGGGCCCUCUGGGUCCAACCUCCCACCCGUGUUUAUUUUACCUUGUUGCUUCGGCGGGCCCGCCUUAACUGGCCGCCGGGGGGCUUACGCCCCCGGGCCCGCGCCCGCCGAAGACACCCUCGAACUCUGUCUGAAGAUUGUAGUCUGAGUGAAAAUAUAAAUUAUUUAAAACUUUCAACAACGGAUCUCUUGGUUCCGGCAUCGAUGAAGAACGCAGCGAAAUGCGAUACGUAAUGUGAAUUGCAAAUUCAGUGAAUCAUCGAGUCUUUGAACGCACAUUGCGCCCCCUGGUAUUCCGGGGGGCAUGCCUGUCCGAGCGUCAUUUCUGCCCUCAAGCACGGCUUGUGUGUUGGGCCCCGUCCUCCGAUCCCGGGGGACGGGCCCGAAAGGCAGCGGCGGCACCGCGUCCGGUCCUCGAGCGUAUGGGGCUUUGUCACCCGCUCUGUAGGCCCGGCCGGCGCUUGCCGAUCAACCCAAAUUUUUAUCCAGGUUGACCUCGGAUCAGGUAGGGAUACCCGCUGAACUUAAGCAUAUCAAUAAGCGGAGGAAAAGAAACCAACACGGAUUGCCCCAGUUACGGUCAAUGAAACGGUUAGAGCUCAAAUUUGAAAGCUGGCUCCUUCGGGGUCCGCAUUGUAAAUUGUCAGGAUGCUUCGGGAACGGUCCCCAUCUAAGUGCCCUGGAACGGGACAUCAUAGAAGGUGAGAAUCCCGUAUGGAAUGGGGAUGUCCGCGCCCGUGUGAAGAUCCUUCAACGAGUCCAGUUGUAUGGGAAUGCAGCUCUAAAUGGGUGGAUAUUUCAUCUAAUGCUAAAUAUGGGGCGAGAGACCGAUAGCGCACAUGUGGUAGUGAUCUACAUGAUGAAACUCCCCUUGAAGAAAAGAGUUAAAAAGCACGUGAAAUUGUUGAAAGAGAAGCGCUUGCGACCAGACUCGCUCGCGGGGUCCAGCCGAGCAUUCGUGCCAGUGU